UGGGAAUUUUGGACGAAUUGGGCGAAAGCCUGAUCCAGCAAUGCCGCGUGUGUGAAGAAGGCCUUCGGGUUGUAAAGCACUUUUGUCCGGAAAGAAAUCCUUGGCUCUAAUACAGUCGGGGGAUGACGGUACCGGAAGAAUAAGCACCGGCUAACUACGUGCCAGCAGCCGCGGUAAUACGUAGGGUGCAAGCGUUAAUCGGAAUUACUGGGCGUAAAGCGUGCGCAGGCGGUUUGCUAAGACCGAUGUGAAAUCCCCGGGCGUCAACCUGGGAACUGCAUUGGUGACUGGCAGGCUAGAGUAUGGCAGAGGGGGGUGAGAAUUCCACGUGUAGCAGUGAAAUGCGUAGAGAUGUGGAGGAAUACCGAUGGCGAAGGCAGCCCCCUGGCAAGUACUGACGCUCAUGCACGAAAGCGUGGGGAGCAAACGGAUUAAUCCCUGGUAGUCCACG
rnacentral:rRNA from 1 species